rnacentral:rRNA from 1 species
UACGGGGGGGGUAAGCGUUGUUCGGAAUUACUGGGCGUAAAGCGCGCGUAGGCGGCUCGGAAAGUCGGGCGUGAAGUGCCGGGGCUCAACCCCGGGACUGCGUCCGAUACUUCCGAGCUGGAGGUAGGUAGGGGAGAUCGGAAUUCCUGGUGUAGCGGUGAAAUGCGCAGAUAUCAGGAGGAACACCAAUGGCGAAGGCAGCUCGCUGGGACGGUACUGACGCUGAGGUGCGAAAGCGUGGGGAGCGAACAGG